rnacentral:piRNA from 1 species
UGACUUUACCUGAGAUCUACUUCUGUGGUC